rnacentral:tRNA from 1 species
CGAGGGGCUGCUCGACGAGAUCGCCGGUCUCGUGGAAUGGCCGGUGGUGCUGAUGGGCUCGUUCGACGCGGGCUUUCUCGA